GUCUAUGGCCAUGCUACCAUGAACAAGCCAGAUCCUGGCUACACUCGAAAGCUAAGCAGGGUCGGGCCUGGUUAGCACUUGGAUGGGAGACCACCUAGGAAGACCAAGUGCUGUAGGCA
rnacentral:rRNA from 1 species